UUCGACUCCUUCAUCUCCUUCAACGGAAAGUCCAGAACGAAUUACAACCUUCAAGGCUUCAACUCCUCAUCAGUAUUCUUCUUAUAGUAAUAUGAGUCCUAAAUUAAGCAAUGAGUAUGCUACUUUACUCGAUGAAAUAGAGCCUGAGGAUGAAGGUGAAAUAUUGACUAGUGGUGUUGCAUCCUUCUUUGAAGAUGGUGACUAGAAUUUAGAGAAAGAGAAAGGAAGAAGACUACAUUGAUGUUGGCUAUUUAUCUACUUGAGUUAGGAUUUUUAAUGAACAAUGGUUCUUAGUUAUUUGUUUUUUUAGCAAUUUCAGUGAACAAUGAUGUAGAACAUUCUUGGUUAUGUGGUUGUUUUGAUGGUAUUUUGGAAUAUUGGUUUGUACCGGUACUAUUUUAUGGUUUUGAUAAUUUUGGUUUGAUAUUUUGGAAUAUCA